GGCCAGCAGCCGCGGUAAUACGUAGGUGGCAAGCGUUGUCCGGAUUUACUGGGCGUAAAGGAUGCGUAGGUGGAUAUUUAAGUGGGAUGUGAAAUACCCGGGCUUAACUUGGGUGCUGCAUUCCAAACUGGAUAUCUAGAGUGCAGGAGAGGAAAGUGGAAUUCCUAGUGUAGCAGUGAAAUGCGUAGAUAUUAGGAGGAACACCAGUGGCGAAGGCGACUUUCUGGACUGUAACUGACACUGAGGCAUGAAAGCGUGGGGAGCAAACAGGAUUAGAUACCCUGGUAGUCCACGCCGUAAACGAUGGGUACUAGGUGUAGGAGGGUCGAACCUUCUGUGCCGUCGUUAACACAUUAAGUACCCCGCCUGGGGAGUACGGUCGCAAGAUUAAAACUUAAAGGAAUUGGCGGGGGA
rnacentral:rRNA from 1 species